CGCAUCUGUGCAUGCAGCAUAUCAAUAAGCGGAGGAAAAGAAACUAACAAGGAUUCCCCUAGUAACGGCGAGUGAAGCGGGAAGAGCUCAAAUUUGAAAUCUUAAAGGGUUUCCCUUUACGAAUUGUAGUUUAAAGAAGUGUUUUCUGUUGAGGUUUUGGUAAAAGUUCUUUGGAAUAGGACAUCAUAGAGGGUGAGAAUCCCGUAUUUGACCUUUACUUUCAACUUUGUGAUACACUUUCAAAGAGUCGGAUUGUUUGGGAAUGCAGUCCAAAAUGGGUGGUAAAUUCAUCUAAAGCUAAAUAUUGGCGAGAGACCGAUAGCGAACAAGUACCGUGAGGGAAAGAUGAAGAGAACUUUGAAAAGAGAGUUAAACAGUACGUGAAAUUGUCAAGAGGGAAGCGUUUGACACCAGUGUUGUUUUUCUGAAAAUCAAUUAAAGGAACUGUUUAUGCUAAGCUGUUUAGACUUUAUCAGCUAAUCUGUUUAGUUUUGAGCUUUUCUUUAAUGCACUUUUCAGUUAACAAGUCAACAUCAAUUUCUUUUGCUGUAAAAAAGCUUGAGGAAGGUGGCUUGAGAUUCGUCUUAAGUGUUUAUAGCCUCUUGCCUAUGCAGUCGGAGAGAUUGAGGUCUGCAGCGUAGAUCCUUCGGGGCUAAAUGCAUUUGUGCCUAAGUUAUAGCAUUUUAUAGACAACUUGUUGACUAUGAUUUGUCUUGUAGCUUACUCGCUUAUGUUAUUUUACCUACGCUUAGGAUGUUGAGUCGUAGAGCACGCAG
rnacentral:rRNA from 1 species